UGGGGAAUAUUGCGCAAUGGGGGGAACCCUGACGCAGCCAUGCCGCGUGAAUGAAGAAGGCCUUAGGGUUGUAAAGUUCUUUCGGUAUUGAGGAAGGUUGAUGUGUUAAUAGCACAUCAAAUUGACGUUAAAUACAGAAGAAGCACCGGCUAACUCCGUGCCCGCAGCCGCGGUAAUACGGAGGGUGCGAGCGUUAAUCGGAAUAACUGGGCGUAAAGGGCACGCAGGCGGUUAUUUAAGUGAGGUGUGAAAGCCCCGGGCUUAACCUGGGAAUUGCAUUUCAGACUGGGUAACUAGAGUACUUUAGGGAGGGGUAGAAUUCCACGUGUAGCGGUGAAAUGCGUAGAGAUGUGGAGGAAUACCGAAGGCGAAGGCAGCCCCUUGGGAAUGUACUGACGCUCAUGUGCGAAAGCGUGGGGAGCAAACAGGAUUAGAUACCCUGGUAGUCCACGCUGUAAACGCUGUCGAUUUGGGGGUUGGGGUUUAACUCUGGCGCCCGUAGCUAACGUGAUAAAUCGACCGCCUGGGGAGUACGGCCGCAAGGUUA
rnacentral:rRNA from 1 species